rnacentral:rRNA from 1 species
UACGGAGGAUCCGAGCGUUAUCCGGAUUUAUUGGGUUUAAAGGGUGCGCAGGCGGAAUAUUAAGUCGGCGGUGAAAGUUUGCAGCUUAACUGUAAAAUUACCGUUGAUACUGGUAUUCUUGAGUGUAUAUGAAGUAGGCGGAAUUUGUAGUGUAGCGGUGAAAUGCAUAGAUAUUACAAGGAACUCCGAUUGCGAAGGCAGCUUACUAAAAUACAACUGACGCUUAGGCACGAAGGCGUGGGGAUCAAACAGGAUUAGAUACCCUGGUAGUCCCUGA